rnacentral:rRNA from 1 species
GGGAAUCUUGCGCAAUGGGCGAAAGCCUGACGCAGCCAUGCCGCGUGGAUGAUGAAGGUCUUAGGAUUGUAAAAUCCUUUCAGCGGGGACGAUAAUGACGGUACCCGCAGAAGAAGCCCCGGCUAACUUCGUGCCAGCAGCCGCGGUAAUACGAAGGGGGCUAGCGUUGCUCGGAAUUACUGGGCGUAAAGGGCGCGUAGGCGGACAGUUAAGUCGGGGGUGAAAGCCCGGGGCUCAACCUCGGAAUUGCCUUCGAUACUGGCUGUCUUGAGUGUGAGAGAGGUGUGUGGAACUCCGAGUGUAGAGGUGAAAUUCGUAGAUAUUCGGAAGAACACCAGUGGCGAAGGCGACACACUGGCUCACUACUGACGCUGAGGCGCGAAAGCGUGGGGAGCAAAC